GCAGGAUUUGCCCCAGUGGGCUCUAGUGCUUGUUGAGACCUCCUUUUGAGUGUGCCACUUGUGGGGUAAAUUGGGUGCUGUUCUGCUGUGGUCUGAAGACGACCUCCAGGUUUUUUGGUUCUGGGGCCUCUUGGGAGGGGCUCCGGUGCAGGCCUAGGUUCGCCACUGCCUGUACUGGCUGGGAACUACAUGGUAAGAGCUACAAAGAGAUCCAUGGUUGGUUGUUGCCUGUGCUAGACCUGGACACAUGUGGUAGAGCCAUGCUGUGAGCUAAGGAUGGCUGCCACCAGUACUGGGCCUGGGGUACCUCUGCAAAGAAACCUAAGACACUCUGAGUCAUGCUGUCAUCCGCUGGCUCCUGUACAGAUCAGCUGCUGAUAGAGCCUCACAUGAGUUGGGUGAGGUAGGGUCUCAUAAUCACCAGGGUAGGGCAAGUGGUAUUUACCAGGUUAAUGUAGAUUCUGGCUUGGUGCCAGUACUGAGCCUGGAUCUACUCAGCAAAAGUCUCAGAGCACGCUGAAGCCAGCUGCUGCCUGCUUGAGCCCAUGGACCCCUGGAGUUGACCAAGAAAGAGUAUGGAAAAGAGGCUGGAGCUUAUUGCACUUGAGGGAUUUGCGGACAGAGUGACUAAAUCUUCAGUGCCUCUUCAUGAGGUGGGCCUUUGCUCUCAGUCUGGUCGGCUUCUCCAGCCUUGCAGGGCCAAUGAGAAUGAGCUCCCUGAGAGAAAGAACAGGGGCCACUCAGCUCUCAGCGAUGACUUUAGUGGCUUGUUCCUGAUACCAAGAUUCUGGAAGCCUGAAUAUGGCUGGGGCCAGCAAGUACUUGGUGCUGAAUAAAUAUUGAAGAAAGGAAAGAAGGAAAGAAGGAAGGAAGGAAGGAAGGAAGGAAGAAGAGAAGGAAAGAGAAAGUGGCAAAGCCAAACUAUUCUGAUCCAUUCAUCCCUGUGGGUUUGAGAGUGAAUGACCAAAGAUUUCUUUUGUUGAAGAGCACAGUGGAGUUCCUUCGAAUCAUGAAACUAUAUCAGUGUACUCCUGGGCCAGCCGCGUGGCUUAGGUGAUU